AGUGCAGAAGAGGACAGUGGAACUCCAUGUGUAGCGGUGAAAUGCGUAGAUAUAUGGAAGAACACCAGUGGCGAAGGCGGCUGUCUGGUCUGUAACUGACGCUGAGGCUCGAAAGUAUGGGUAGCAAACAGGAUUAGAUACCCUGGUAGUCCAUACCGUAAACGAUGAAUGCUAAGUGUUGGAGGGUUUCCGCCCUUCAGUGCUGCAGCUAACGCAUUAAGCAUUCCGCCUGGGGAGUACGGCCGCAAGGCUGAAACUCAAAGGAAUUGACGGGGGCCCGCACAAGCGGUGGAGCAUGUGGUUUAAUUCGAAGCUACGCGAAGAACCUUACCAGGUCUUGACAUACUAUGCAAAUCUAAGAGAUUAGACGUUCCCUUCGGGGACAUGGAUACAGGUGGUGCAUGGUUGUCGUCAGCUCGUGUCGUGAGAUGUUGGGUUAAGUCCCGCAACGAGCGCAACCCUUAUUAUCAGUUGCCAGCAUUAAGUUGGGCACUCUGGUGAGACUGCCGGUGACAAACCGGAGGAAGGUGGGGAUGACGUCAAAUCAUCAUGCCCCUUAUGACCUGGGCUACACACGUGCUACAAUGGAUGGUACAACGAGUUGCGAACUCGCGAGAGUAAGCUAAUCUCUUAAAGCCAUUCUCAGUUCGGAUUGUAGGCUGCAACUCGCCUACAUGAAGUCGGAAUCGCUAGUAAUCGCGGAUCAGCAUGCCGCGGUGAAUACGUUCCCGGGCCUUGUACACACCGCCCGUCACACCAUGAGAGUUUGUAACACCCAAAGUCGGUGGGGUAAUCUUUAGGAACCAGCCGCCUAAGGUGGACAGAUGAUAGGGAAGUCAACAGAGCGCGUAAAA
rnacentral:rRNA from 2 species